rnacentral:misc_RNA from 1 species
GUUGAAGACCAAGGCGAUAAGAACAGAAGUCAAAUCUUCGCAGGACAAAACAGAGAUAAUCAAUUUGGUUACUACAAUAGUGUAAAAAUAAAAGUAAAAAAUAAAGAAAUUUUCAGAGAAGGCAUAUGAUAAGUGCAACCAUAUAUGGUGAGCCAAAUGGAUAAAUUUUAGGUGUUUAAGGUUGGGUUAUGAGUCAACUUCCAUCCCCAUCUGUGACCCAUUCAAAAAUAAUAUGGACAUCAACACUGCCAUAAUACUCAAUACCACAAAAAUCAGUCCUUGACCUGACCACCUUGUUGUACUCAUUAGCAAUUUUUCUGUUGAACUCCAAAUUCAAACUUUGUCACCAUGGUGAAAGAUAUUGAAGAAGCCUUACUGAAGUAGCAAAACAAGAUGAUAAAGUACAAUGAUGAAGAAGAAGAGAAGCUCUAGUUAUUUGAAAGACUCAGCAUCACAAAGGUUAUAGAAGAUGAAUGGUUGUAAGCAUCACACUAGAUGCACUUCUCAUGGCAAGGUUUGUGGUGUUAUCAUUGAUACAUGAAUUUGUAAAAAUGUGGUGGCAGCAGGUGAAGUUACGGUUGAAACCUAAGGAUCAUCCUAAGCCAUGCAAGAUUCAUUGGUUUUGAAAAGUGAAUGAAUUAAAGGUAACCAAAAGUUGAUUGAUCCAAUUUUCAUUUGGCACAAACUAUAGCAGUCCUAUCUAGUGUGAUAUUAUAGUGAUCUAAGCUUUCAAGAGAGAAGGGAAAUAUGUUGUUGCUAGGAAUCAGAUAAGAAUGUAAAUAAGAUGGUCCAUGCCCUUGCUGAGAUAGAAAUCAAUUAGAACUAGCUAAUCUUUAAGUGCAACCUCUCUUGAUUGAAUUUCCUUAUGUUGUUCCUAAUGAGAUUCCAGCUAGACUCCCA